UUAUUCUUCUACACACACACACACACACACACACACACACACACACACACACACCUGGGUUAAUACAAACCUAAGGAAAUAUUUCUUCACACAACACAACUCGUAACUCAUUGCCAGGGGAUGUCGUGAAGGCCAAAAGUGUAACCAGGUUCAAAAAAGAAUUAGAAAAGUUCCUGGAGGACAGGUCCAUCAAUGGCUAUUAGCCAAGGUGGUCAGGGGUGCAACACCGUGCACAGGGUGUCCCUAUGCCUUCUGAUUGAAACUGGGACUGGGUGACGGGAUGGAUCACUCUAUAAAUUGCCCAGUUCUGUUCAUUUCUUCUGAAGCAUCUGGCACCAGCAGAAGACAGGAUACUGGGCUAGAUGGACAAUUGGUCUGACCCAGUAUGGCCAUUCUUAUGUUACCCCUGUAUUGUGCCUAGAUAGGACUCAUCUCCUUUGAGCCAUUGAUAUGUGGUCUUUGCGACAAUGCACCUUGUAAGGCUCUGAAAUGAGCCCUGCCAAUAAUAUAGGAAAUUGUGACUUUUAGGCAAAACCUAGAGGCUAACUCUGAUUCUCCAGGGAUGCUGAGGUUCCCUCUUGCCCCAGCUGCAGGAUGGGAUGAGAGUCUUGUCCCGUCUCAUCUGGUUCCCUCUCUCUCAGGCAGCAGACCUUGUGGCUGGGGUUUGCAGCCGGUUGGAUUCAGUCCAGCAGCCCAGCUCCAGGACCCUGAUGAAGAAGUUAGUGGCCCUGCUGGCUGGCGAGGCGGAGCAUCUGGACACAGUGAUCUCAUGCCUUCUGGACUACUCCUUCCCUACAGACAGCAAUUCGGCCGAGCUGUGGCAGUUCCUAUCUGCUGACCCGGCCCUCGGAGGACAGGUGAUGGAGAACCUGGUUGUGAAGCUGCAGAGUCACCACAGCUCUGAGCACCAAGCCUCUCACAUGUCUGCUGCCGUAAGUCACUGUUCGAACAUCCAUAGCCCCAUACAGUUAAAUCUAUCCUAUGUCUCGGUCACAGGGCACACUCACCGCCAACGCGCCUCCUCAUGCCAGGACAUGAUGUUGCAGGGCUUAUUCCACCCUGGUGUCCCCUUGUCCAGCCUCCUGGUUCUGCAACACUCCGCAGGUUCCAUGGUCUGGCCCUCUGGCCACGUCACCUCUUCCAGGGUUAACAGAAAAGUCCAAUAUGGGAAAACCCAACAUGUAGUGGCCUCUGUGCCAGGCCC
rnacentral:lncRNA from 1 species